UCAAUACAUCAAACGCGAUCUUCCUCUGAUGCGUGCUGCCAUUUGUUUGCAUUAGUAGCGGUUGUCAUUUGUCAAACAAACAGAGACUCAAAGAAUCUUUUCAAGCCUAAAUGUCACCAAAGUACCACAGCAUUACAGUUCACAGCUUGUAUAUGCACAGCCAUCAUAUCUAAAUGCAAUAUUCCCAUGCAUGCAGCCUUGUCUGCUGAUUAGGUGAAGAUGCAGAUUUCAUUAACACAAAUAGCAAAUCAAACAGUCUUUUCAGUCAUAUAAUACAUUUGUUUUCUGAAACAGACAGCCAACUAUCACAAAAUCACCAAGUUUAAAACUCGUAUUCUCAAAGUGAAAACAUGCUGAUUGAGCGUGAUUAUAUGAUGCAUGCAGCCAAGUCUAAAGUUAUUAGCGCUUGUCUCACACACACACACACACACAAACACACACACACACACACGUUGGUGCGGCUAUCCUUAUGAGGACUCUCCACAGACAUAAUGAUUUUCAUUCUGUACAAACUAUAGAUUCUAUCCCCUAACCAUACCCCUAAACCUAACCCUCACAAAACACUUUCUGCAUUUUUACAUUUUCAAAAAAACAUUGUUUAGUAUGUUUUUUAAGCAAUUUGAAUUAUGGGGACAAUAGACACUAGAAUUUAGACCCUACUCAUGAGGUUAAAAGGGCAGUCUGCUGGUCUAAAGUUCGAAGGACAUUGAACCAAGACUGCUAUCCAGGCUCACACCAAAUAUAUUGUCGUAAAACACAAAAAAGUGCUGCAGAUUUCAGCAGAAUUGGAACACCUGCUAUUUAUAAACUUCAACAAUUGCCCAGACCUUUUGCGAGUUUGUUUAUUCAAUAAACAAAUAAUUGAUUAUGCUUUCAGCUACCAAUAAGAUUUUGGAAAUAUUUUAUUUUACCAUGUUUAAAUCUUCUCAAAUUUAGCAGAUAUUCCCUUAAAUGCCACAGCCACGCUAAAACAUUUUCACAUGAAUACGCAUUGAUUUUGCUACAUUUACGCCUCUUAUUCACACUGGAGCUGCGUUUUCCUCCACUGGAAGUGGAGACUUCCAAAAAUACUCUACAUUACUGCAUACUUUGGAAAACUAUGACAUUAGGAAACUGAAAACGUGUGUUCAACGAUAAAUGGAUUAGUGUGGACGUGGCCAAAAUCCUUUCUGUAAAUGCAAGAAAAAAUCUACAGAUUUUGUCUGGGGCUACUGCUAUCUAUCGUAAAAAGACUUCUUUAAAACAAAUGCCUUAUUUAAUCCAGACAAGAUGUCAGUAAUGACACCUUUACUUGACACUUUCCUACAAUCCUUUUACUUCGACCACAUCCACACUAAUGCGUUUUCGUUUGAAAAUGCAUUAAUUUUGCUAUGUUUAUGCCUCUCAUCCACACUGGAAUGCUGUUUUCCUUCACUGAAAACAGAGACUUCUGAAAAAGCUCUCUAUGACAGCACACUUUGGAAAAUUAUAACUUCAGGAAACUGAAAACGAAGUGUUCAAAUAAAAAUUAAUUCAUGUGGACUGGGCCGAAAUCAGCUCAGAAAAUGCAUAAACAAGUCUGUAGAUUCCAUCUGGGGCUACUGAUAUCUGUCGUAACAGGACUUCUUUAAAAUAAUGACUUAUUUUAGUCCAGACAAGAUAUCAGUAAUGUCACCUUUACUUUGUGACACUUUCUGUCAUUCCUUUUACUUAGUCUGACCUCUCUAAAACAAGAACAUAAACCAAGAAGCCACAAAGAGCAAAAUCACACAAGAUAUAAUAUCUUUCAAAACUAUCUCUGCGUUGAAGCUACUGUUUGGUGACACCAUUGUAGGCGAUUUCAGUAAUAUAGCUAGAUAUUGCUGAAACAGAAUAUGGAAAAAAGGAGGGUAGAGAGUGUGCCUGUCUCAUUUCAAAGUGUGCCCUUGACAUCUUUGUAGAUUGGCUUUCUUCUUUCUCUCCUGCAUUGCCCAGGACACUGCAACAGCUGCAAAUUGCCAAUGACAUAUAUGCAAAAUGGGGGUCAUACAAAGUUCUCAGCCAUUUUAUAAAGCAGACACAUAUACUGUGUCUGUUGGCUUGCUAGAGGUGGUAUGUGACCUCUAAAAACUGCUUUCAUAUACUGAAAUAUAUAUUGAAUAGCACACAUUGCUCUAUCUCCAAAUGAGAAAUCCCAUGUAGCAAGAACUCAUUUAGCUGCUCUUGAGGCUAGUAUCGCUGUCAAAGUUGAAAUGAGAGCAAGCCAGCAAAUGUGGUUUAGGGGCACACACAGUUUUUGUCUUACAAAAAGUAUUUUAUUUAUUUUUUUUUUUUUUUGUUACAUGAAAUGUAUAACUUUCCUUUAAGUAUGUCUCACUGUGAAUGACCUGUUGUGAGAAAUACUUAACUGAAGGGAAGGGAAAAUGUUCCCUUCAGAACAUUUUGCAAACAGCUGUAAACCAAAAUGCUCAGUGCCCAUGUAUUGGUUAAUGUUGUUUCAUAUUAAGGUUACAGUGACCUAACUACAAGCAGCGGGAUCUACACAAACAGUCAAAGCCGCUGAGAUGCCGCCUUCCUGAGGCUUCAAAUGUCCUAAUUACUCCUGUGUGCCUCACAGGUCAAGCCAAGCUUUCAGUACUAGCCUGGCACCAUAAGAGUAUUCUCCACUCCAUUAGCUUGAGAUUUCAAUGCACAGGGCUAAAUGUUACCACUCCUUAAAUUCUCAGCCUCCGAGGAUUCUGUGGCCUACAUAAACGAUUCAGCUUAGAGCUAAGCUGAGCCUUUUUGCUGUUGUUGGAAAAUUCUAUCAGAUAACUGAACCAGAAAAGUUUUAUUCAGAUUGAGGGUAAGCAGAGAAAUAGUAGUAUUCCUGUGUUCCAUUGUAAUUAAUUAAUGGAAGGAUGUCCAGCAAGUUCAAUAAAUAAACUUCAGUUGGUUCAAAAUGCAGCUGCCAGAGUGCUGACUAGAACCAAGAAAUAUGAUCAUAUUAGCCCCAUUCUGUCAUCGUUACAUUGGCUACCUGUUAAAUUUCGUAUUAAUUUUAAAAUUCUGUUAACUACACAACAAAGCUUUGAAUGGUCUAGCUCCACAGUCCUUAAGUGACCUUCUGACAUGCUACAUUCCGUCAUGUUCAUUAUGAUCACAAAAUUCGGGCUUGUUAAUAAUUCCAAGAAUAUCAAAAAUCCACAAAAGGAGGUAGAUCCUUUUCAUACUUGGCUCCUAAACUAUGGAAUAGUCUCCCUAACACUGUUCGGGAUGCAGACACACUCGCUCAAUUUAAGUCUAGUCUAAAGACCAGCCAGGCAUACACCUAAUUUAUCCUUCAACUUACAAUUAGGCUGCUUUUGUUAGGUCUACUGGAACCAGAAACAUCCAUCAUGAUCUAUAACGCUGCAUAAAAUUGAAUGGCAUCUACGCUAAUAUUCUUUUUUUUUUUUCUUUUUUUUUUCAUGUCUCAACCUUGGGAUUCAUAUCCAGAGGUAACCAGAGUCAGCCAGAUCCAGCUCCGUUCCUGCUUGGUGUCAGCAUCCACUGCUACAUGUCACUGAAAGAUGACGACAAACUACAGCCGGUGCCAGCCAGACAUCACUUCAGUCUUUUGACUUCAGAGGAUGAACUGAUGCCAACUCCAACUGUAAGACAUGAGAUACUUCAUAUGCUACUGCCUGAACCUUGGACUUAGGAUGGACCCCACCGAACCUCACCGAAAUGACCUGCAGGUUGAACUGCGAUGCACCUCAUUAAUCUCUGCCUGCAUCACCUUUGUCUAUUGACGGACUACACUCUUAAAAUGGAAUACAUAGACUAACAUUUAAUUGCCAACAAAAGCCUUCAUCAGCCAACUAACAAAGGACAAUGCAUCAAUGUGAAUUACUGCAGUUAAUCCAGGAUGGACUUCAAAAACAUUAGUCAUUAAUCUUAAAGUUUAAAAGAAAUCUUUUCUUUUUUUUUUUUUUUUUUUUUUUUAAACAAUGGACCUUAACGCUUACAUAAUUUACAAAUUUAAAACCAUGACUUGCACUGCACAUAAAUAACUAAUAUUGGCAUUAUAUUCAUGUUGUUUAGCCAGAGGGGAACUGGCCCCCACAGCGAGCCUGGUUUCUCCCAAGGUUAUUUUUCUCCAUUAACCAACAUCUUAUGGAGUUUUGUGUUGCUUGCCACAGUCACUUUCAGCUUGCUCACCGGGGUUCUAAAUUUCCCAAGACACCUUUUGCUGCACCUGAAUGCUCCCGUUACCUGAAACAAAUUGCCUGAAGAAAUCUGCACUGCUUCUGGUUGUGAAAAUGCAAAGGAGAUGCAAAACCUGGCACGUUAAAUGAACUAUACUCUCAUGUUUCUGCUGCCUCUUUUUUAUUUUACUUUUUUUAAACAGCCCGCUUAAGACAUAAAUAAAUAAAUAAAAGAUGAGAAAGUAA